AGUGCAGCUCCGCCCGGACUCCUUCGGGAGCCGGGCUCCACCGCCAUCAGCAAGUGCAGCUCCGCCCGGACUCCUACGGGAGUCGGGCUCCACCGCCAUCAGCAAGAACAGCUCCGCCCGGACUCCUACGGGAGCCGGGCUCCGCUCUCAAUAUCAAUUGCUGGUAAGCUCAAUCCGGACUCCUAUCAGGGCUGGACUUCACCCUUGACUUUGUUUGCAGUGCAGCUCC
rnacentral:lncRNA from 1 species